GGCUCGGUAGCUUAGUUGGUAAAGCGCUCGUCUAGCAUACAAGAGUCCUGGGUUCAAAUCCCAGCCGAGCAC
rfam:Aedes aegypti strain Liverpool supercont1.632 genomic scaffold, whole genome shotgun sequence.